UACGUAGGUGACAAGCGUUGUCCGGAUUUACUGGGCGUAAAGAGCGCGCAGGCGGUCGAUCAAGUCGAGUGUGAAAGCCCCCGGCUCAACUGGGGAGGGUCAUUCGAUACUGAUCGACUCGAAGGCAGGAGAGGGUAGUGGAAUUCCCGGUGUAGUGGUGAAAUGCGUAGAUAUUAGGAAGAACACCAGUGGCGAAGGCGGCUCACUGGUCCGGUACUGACGCUGAGGUGCGAAAGCGUGGGGAGCGAACAGG
rnacentral:rRNA from 1 species